UACGUAGGAUGCAAGCGUUGUCCGGAAUUACUGGGCGUAAAGGGCUCGUAGGUGGCCAACUAAGUCAGACGUGAAAUCCCUCGGCUUAACCGGGGAACUGCGUCUGAUACUGGAUGGCUUGAGUUUGGGAGAGGGACGCGGAAUUCCAGGUGUAGCGGUGAAAUGCGUAGAUAUCUGGAGGAACACCGGUGGCGAAGGCGGCGUCCUGGACCAACACUGACACUGAUGAGCGAAAGCCAGGGGAGCAAACGGG
rnacentral:rRNA from 1 species